GAUGAACGCUGACAGAAUGCUUAACACAUGCAAGUCAACUUGAAUUUGGGUUUUUAACUUAGGUUUGGGUGGCGGACGGGUGAGUAACGCGUAAAGAACUUGCCUCACAGCUAGGGACAACAUUUGGAAACGAAUGCUAAUACCUAAUAUUAUGAUAAUAGGGCAUCCUAUAAUUAUGAAAGCUAUAAGCGCUGUGAGAGAGCUUUGCGUCCCAUUAGCUAGUUGGAGAGGUAACGGCUCACCAAGGCGAUGAUGGGUAGCCGGCCUGAGAGGGUGAUCGGCCACAAGGGGACUGAGACACGGCCCUUACUCCUACGGGAGGCAGCAGUGGGGAAUAUUGGACAAUGGACCAAGAGUCUGAUCCAGCAAGUCUGUGUGCACGAUGAAGUUUUUCGGAAUGUAAAGUGCUUUCAGUUGGGAAGAAAGAAAUGACGGUACCAACAGAAGAAGUGACGGCUAAAUACGUGCCAGCAGCCGCGGUAAUACGUAUGUCACGAGCGUUAUCCGGAUUUAUUGGGCGUAAAGCGCGUCUAGGUGGUUAUGUAAGUCUGAUGUGAAAAUGCAGGGCUCAACUCUGUAUUGCGUUGGAAACUGUAUAACUAGAGUACUGGAGAGGUAAGCGGAACUACAAGUGUAGAGGUGAAAUUCGUAGAUAUUUGUAGGAAUGCCGAUGGGGAAGCCAGCUUACUGGACAGAUACUGACGCUGAAGCGCGAAAGCGUGGGUAGCAAACAGG
rnacentral:rRNA from 1 species